AGCCCAGCCCAACCUCAGCCGGCCGCGGGAGGAGGCGGGAGCUGGGGCUUCGAACUGCCCCCUCCCACCUCCGCCUCUCCCCCGUCUCCUCUCCCCCUUUCCUCUUUCUCCUCCCCCAUCCCACUUCUCUCUCCUUUUCCUCUUUCUUUCUCCCCUCCUCCCUCCAUUCCACCCGCCUCCUUUUACCCCGCCCUGCCAGUCGUCCUCCCCCUCGCCCCCUCCGCCUCCCUCCAGCUCCGCCGCCAGAGGCUGAGUCAUCGCUGCUGCGGCGCUGCCGGCCGUGCUGGGAGAGCAGGCGAGCAGGUAGGGAGGGUGUGAAGCAAGCGACGCCGUGCGACCCGGCACCACCGUCUGGGCCCUUUCCCGGAGAGGCCUGGGGAGGGGGCACCGAAAGGGGCCCGGGCCGCGGUGGGGGACGGGCGACGGGCCCCGGAAAGGCACAGAUCUUACCCCUCAACCCCCAUCCUUACAGGAGCCGCUUUGCAGCAUUCUCAGCCGCACAUGCAAAUUAAUACCUAACAUUAGGGUGGCAUCUGGGCCAGGCAAGUCAAACUGACGGCCCACGGACAGAUCUGGCCGGCACCUGAUAUUUAUUUGGCUCACACAGUGUUGUGUUUGUUUGUUCUGAAGUUUUAACUAUUAAUAGUUGCCAAUACUUAAACAUCACUCAUUUCUUGGAAAAUCAGAUUCCCAACUCAAAAAAUUAGAAUAUAUGUCAACGUAUUUCCCAUGAUAACUCUAGCCUAUUUCUGAGUGGGGAUACCUUUGUGUAGUCAGGGCAUUGCACCCUCCCUACCUGCUCGCCCUCUAGUUUGCCACAGUCUCCGCUACUCCCUACUGUUUCACCUAGGCCACUGAACUUCCUUUGUGUUUCCUGCCAGGCCUCAUAUGGAAUGAUUCCUAGUCUAGUCCACCCCAUUCAUAUUUUACAUGGGGAUUAGGAAGUGAGGGUAGGGCAUUUCCCAAAGUCACAUGUGGCCUUAAAGCUGAAGGGGAACCCUGCUUUUCCUCACCCACUAAUCUUUUCUACCAAACCAUUCUGACUCCUUUGGUAUGCAGGCUAACAUAGGGAAUUCUUUUGUGAAAAGUGUGUUCCAGAAAAUUAUCUGGGGAUCAGAGUAGACCUCAAAUGGGAGAUGAUUUGGAGCAUACAGCACCUCGUCUUUGGAGUUGAUGGUAGCUUCUCACAGUCUUUCCCUUGGAGUGGAAAUAGAUGACAAAACUAGGGUGGAUAGAUGAAUGGAACAGUUGGCCAAUCUGGUAUAUUUGGUUAUAAGAAGUUGUUUUCGGGUCAUUGGAAACCUGGCUUAUGAGACACUGUUGCAUAAGGGCUACAAAGGCAAUAUGCCACUUUGCUUGGAUUAUUCUCUAGUCUAGUGCUUCUCAGCUCCUAAUGUGUACAUGAUUCCUGUAAAGUGUAGAUUCUGACGUGGCACGAUGGCUCACACCUGUAAUCCCAGCACUUUGGGAGGCCAAGGCAGGAUAAUUGCUUGAGCCCAGGAAAUUUGAGACCAGCCUGGGCAACAUGGUGAGAUCCCUAUCUCUACAAAAAAAUUAAAAAUUAGUUGGGCGUGGUGGCCUGUGCCAGCUACUUGGGAGGCUUAGGCAGGAGGAUCCCUUGAACUCAGGAGGUGGGGACUAUAGUAAGCUGUGUUUGUGCCCCUAUACUCUAGCCUGGGCAACACAGUGAGACCCUUUCACACACACACACAAAAAAAUUGUAGAUUCUGAUUCAGUAGGGCUGGAUGGAACGAACCCAAGAUCCUGCAUUUCUGACAAACUUCCAGGUGAUGCCAGUGUUGCAGGCCCCUAGACCCUCCUGCCUUUGAGUAGCAAGGGUGUGCACUCCUUGCGCUUCCGGUCUAUUCAUGGGUACCAUUGCUGCAUGACGGCCAAGAGAAGGGGUUUGAAGUCCCACAGUGGACUUCACAGUGGAUCCCAGCCUACCCCUUAACAGUCAGCUAACCUUAGGCCAGCUGCUCAUCCUCUCUGUGCCUCCAUUUUUUCAUCUGUUCCAUUGAAAUCAAAUAAUACUUCCUUAGGAGCAUAAAAAAGGCAGAAUGAAUGUAUGACCCCAGCACAGUCUGUGCCUCAUGGCAGGCCCUCUGUAAAGAUAGUUUCUACCAUUGUGCACUCUCUCAUGGGCAGUGAAACCCAGAAAUGACGUGGUUAGGGAGUGGGAUAUGGAAGGGAUAUGGAAGGUAUUUCAGGAUAAGAAUUGUACCCCUUGGCUGGGCGCGGUGGCUCAUGCCUGUAAUCUCAGCACUUUGUGAGGUGGAGGUGGGCAGAUCACAAGGUCAGCAGUUCGACACCAGCCUGACCAACAUGGUGAAACUUCGUCUCUACUGAAAAUACAGAAAUUAGCUGGGCAUGGUGACGCGCACCUGUAAUCCCAGCUACUAAGGAGGCUGAGGCAGGAGAAUCACUUGAACCCGGAGGGUGGAGGUUGCAGUGAGCUGAGAUCGCGCCACUGCACUCCAGCCUGGGUGACAGAGUGAGACAACAUCUCAGAAAAAAAAAAAAAAGAAUUGCACUCCUUAAUGUGGCCUUCUGAGCCAUGCAGGGUGGUCACUGCCCAGCCUACCCCUUAAUGCUCUCCUACCUCUGUCCAUGCUUCCACCACAACGGCCACCUAUUAGGUCCUUUGGCCAUGGUACCUUCUCCCCUCAGAGGCCUUGCACAUGCUGUUCCUCAUAUUCCAAGCUGGCUGGCCCCUUCUUAUCCUUCAGUCUCAGCUCCUAUGUUACUUCCUUGGGGUGCCUUCCCUGAUCUCAGAAGUCUAAGGGUUUAGCGUAGAAAGUGGGGAGCAGGGAACAUCUCUUUGGGCUGCAUGUACAUAGGGAAGUCACCGUAUCUACUUAGAUUCUAAGUUUAUUUAAAGCAGCUUUGGAUAGGGGUGAACUAAACGCUGCCUCUGCUAGUCUAUACGAUGCCUUUGUGCAGAUUAGAAAAAGGGGUCGGGCACAGUGGCUCGCACCUGUAAUUCCAACACUUUGGGAGGCCAAGUGGGAGAAACACUUGAGGCCGGGAGUUUGAGAUCAGGCUGGGCAACAUAGCGAGACCUCAACUCUACAAUUUUUUUUUUUUUAAAUUUUAGAGACGGGGUCUUGCUCUGUUGCCAGGCUUUGUGCAGCAUGUAAACUGUACAGCCCUAAGUGGGAGCCCUACUGCUAAUGCUUCCCCAAGCUACCUCGUGAUUCGGUUAAUCCUCCUUUGCCUGGAUUAAGUCUCUUUUAUAAACUUUCUUAACCCCAUAAAACUCAUCACAAUUGGGAUUAGGUAUCUAGGGAGUUAUUUAUUUAAAAUCUGCCCCCUACACUAGACUGUACUGCAUCAAGGCAAAGACAUAUCCAUCUUGUUCUAGGCUGUAUCACUAGUGCUUAGUACGGUUCCUGCACCAUAGCAGGUGCUCCACAAAUGUUUUCUGGAUAUUUCAGGAGCUCAUUCUGUACCAGGAAAGCUAAGACUCUUACUGAAACAACUGUGGGCAUAGGAUGAGACAGGCACAGAGCUAAAUGUGUGGUGCAGCCCCAGUGAGGGAGAUGUCACUUCUGGCUGCGGGGAUGCUCCGGAAGAGGUGGUGUUUUGGCUGGGUCUGACGGAACAGAUGGAGUUCAUUAGACUUAGAUGGGUGGGGGAGUGUUCUUGGCAUUGGGAAUAGCAAAAGCAAAGGUGCAGAGGGAAAAAAGUUCAAUGUGUUCCUAAGACAAGUCACAAAUUGUGAUCAGCAGAGUGGCCAAAUAUGUUUUGUGAAUUACCUGCCAAUAUUUAUUUUAAAAUCAGGAGAUUUCACAUAAAGAUCCAGAUUUUCCAAUUCUCUUGAAAAAUCGAAAGGUCCCACCAGGUAGCAAUAGACUGGCACUGAGAAGUGGCCGUUCGUUUUGAAGGUGUGGGCUUACUCCAGUUUGCCACAGUCCUUACCUUUCCCAAUUGCAUCACACCCAGCUCUCUUCACUCAUUACUGUCCCUUUCUGGCUUUGGAGAUGGCCGACAGACUGUUUGAUUGGCACACAUGGGAGUUGUAAGGAAGAUUGGUUCAGAUCCUACAGACCCUUAAAUGCCAGCUAAUUAAGUAACCUGGUAACUGCAGGGAUUGCAGGGGUCUUCUCCAGUCCCAUGGAUCACUGUCCAAGUAUCCCUUGGCAGAGCCAUGCCUGACUUCAGAAGAAGGAACUUCAGGCCAAGAAGGCUGGUGAAGUUCUGGAAACCAAGGAAGCAGAGAGCUCUGCAUGAGCCUUUCCUAGAGAGAAAUCAGUCUCUGUCUCUCUUAGACCGACCCCUCAGUCACAGCAUGGUGCUGUGAUUUUGCCAAGAGGCAGGGGUGGGUCUGGGGGAAGAUGGACGGUGCUUCCAAAAGGCUAAAUUUUAGUCUCAAAGGUUUCUGAUUGCGGACACAUAGGUGAUAUCUAACUUGCUUUUGUUUAGCCUUGAAUAUUUUCAAAUAUAAUCUUCAAUAUUUCUGUUACAAUAUUGUAGCUUGCUUCUGUUUAUAAAAAUAAUGCAGCAUUUGAAAAAAAAUUGGAGAACAUAGAAAAAUAAAGAUGAAGAUAAUAAUCUGUAGUAAUCUUCCCACCCAGAUGUAACAUGUUAACAUGUUGGUGGAUUUCCUUAUGUUUAUUUUUUUCAGUGUAUUUAUACUUUUGUGUGUUGUGUGUGUGUGUUUGUGAGACGGAGUCUCACUCUGUCACCUAGGCCGGAGUGCAGUGGCGUGAUCUCGGCUCACUGCAAGCUCCGCCUCCUGGGUUCACACCAUUCUCCUGCCUCAGCCUCCCUAGUAGCUGGGACUACAGGCACCCACCACCACACUCGGCUAAUUUUUUGUAUUUUUAGUGGAGACGGGGUUUCACCGUGUUAGCCGGGAUGAUCUCAAUCUCCUGAACUCGUGAUCUGCCUGCAUCGGCCUCCCAAAGUGCUGGGAUUACAGGCGUGAGCCACUGCGCCCGGCCUGUAUUUAUAUAUAAGUUGGGAGGCUGGGCACUCAUGCCAGAGCUUUGGAAGGCGAAGGUGGCAGGAAAGUUUGAGGCUAGGAGUUCAAGACCAGCCAGGAUAACACGAGAGAACCUGUCUCAACAAAAAAAAUUUUUUAAUUAGUCGAGCUGCAGCCAGCUCUGCCUCUUGUCAGGGCCUGGAGUCCUGGGUGAAUCCUGCAGGUUUUUGGUUGCACUGGCCCAGGGAAGAAGUUGGGGUUUGUCAGGUGGGCUCUCCUGGGGGUCCUCUAGUGGCAGAAGUGAGUAGGGGAUUAUCCGAGGCAUCUGGAGAUGCAUGUCCCUCAGUUUCCCUGUGCCUCCCUUUCUGAGUAGGUGUACAAAUGAGUGACCUAGGCCAAGAAGUGAGUUGCCACAGUGAAAUGGGUUGGUUUUUGUCUUUGAUGCUUCGGGUCUGGGCCCCUUGCAUUUGCAGCCUGUUGUGACAGACACAGGGAGCUCUAUGUGCCAGCCUGUGGCUGCCCUGAUGUUGGGUGUCCUGGGGGUGGCGAGGCUCCUGCAGUCUCAUCCGGGGAGGGGGUGUGCUGUGCUGAGCACUCUAUCCCUGAAUAUAGUUUAUUUUUUCUACAUUUGAAUUCUGUUAUAGAUUUAUGUAAAAAUACAUUCUCUUUUUGAAGAAUGAAAAAGUUCACAUCUUAAAAAAAAAAUUAGCUGGGCAGGCCAGGCGAGGUGGGUCAAGCCUGCACUUGGGGAGGCUGAGUGGGCAGAUCACGUGAGGCCAAGAGUUUGAAACCAGUCUGGCCAACAUGGUGAAACCCUGUCUCUUUCUGGCUAAAAAUACAAAAAUUAUCCAGGUGUGGUGGUGGAUGCCGGUCAUCCUAGCUACUUGGGAGGCUGAGGAGGAGAAUCACUUGAACCCAGGAGGCAGAGGUUGCAGUGAGCCAAGAUCACACCCCUGCACUCCAGCCUGGGCGGCAGAGGAAGACUCCAUCUCAAAAAAAAAAAAAAAAAAAAAAAUUAGCUAGGGCUAGUGGCACAUGCCUGUAGUCCUAGCUACUUGGAAGGCUGAGGUAGGAGGAUCUCUUGAGUCUGGAAGGUUGAGGCUGCAGUGAGCCAUGAAUGCAUCACUUCAUUCCAGCCUGGGUGACAGAAUGAGACCCUGGUUCAAAAGUGAAAUAAAACAACAUUGGAAGCAUAUUUCUUUUGCCCUUGAUUUGCCCUUUUUCACUUAACAUUAUAUGGUGAAUCUUUGUGAGAAUGUAUUAAUGCAUUCCUUUUAUAAAAUUUUUACAUAAAAAAUUAAAUUCAGAAAAGAAAAAUACUAUAUAUUGACACCAUUUUUCCAAGUUAUUAAAUAUGUUUUGAGAAAACAUUUUGCGCCGGGCGCAGUGGCUCACAUCUGUAAUCCUAGCGCUUUGGGAGGCCGAGGUGGGUGGAUCACCUGAGGUCAGGAGUUCGAGACCAGCCUCGCCAACAUGGCAAAACCCCAUGUCUACUAAAAAUACAAAAAUUGGCUGGGUGCGGUGGCUCACGCCUGUAAUCCCAGCACUCUGGGAGGCCUAGGCGGGUGGAUCAUGAGGUCAGGAGUUUGAGACCAGCCUGGCCAAUAUAGUGAAACCCCGUCUCUACCAAAAAUACAAAAAAUUAGCCAGGCGUGGUGGCGGCACUUGUAAUCCCAGCUACUUGGGAGGCUGAGGCAGGAGAAUUGCUUGAACCCAGGAGCAGAGGUUGCAGUGAGCCAAGAUCGUGCCAUUGCACUCCAGCCCAAACGACAGUGUGAAACUCUGUCUCAAAAAAAUAAAAAAUAAAAAAUAAUCUGGCGAGGUGGCAGGCACCUGUAAUCCCAGCUACUCUGGAGGCUGAGGCAGGAGACUCACUUGAACCCAGGAGGCAGAGGUUGCAGUGAGCUGAGAUCGUGCCAUUUUACUCCAGCCUGGACUACAGACCAUGACUCCGUUUAAAAAAAAAAAAAAAAAAGAAAGAAAAGAAAAGAAAAAACAUUUUGCCUGUUUGUUUCCUUCCAUUCUCAAAGUAUAAUCAGAGAUCUAAUUCUGUUCAUCUUGCCUAAAUGGAUAAAAUUAAUAUUAUCACCUCCAUUUUACAGAGGAAGUUGAGACUCAAAAAUGGAGUGAUUGGGCCUGGCGUGGUGGCUCACGCCUGUAAUCCCAGCACUUUGGGAGGCCAAGGCGGGCGGAUCACCUGAGGUCGGGAGUUCGAGACCAGCCUGGCCAUCAUGGUGAAAUGCUGUCUCCACUAAAAAUACAAAAAAAUUAGCUGGGCGUGGUGGCACGCGCCUGCUUGAACCUGGGAGGUGGAGGUUGCACUGAGCAGAGAUCGCGCCGUUGCACUCCAGGCUGGGUGACAGAGCCAGACUCUGUCUCCAAAAAAAUUAAAAUUUAAAUUAAAAAAAAAUGAAGUGAUUUACUCAAAAUCAAGUAGCUAGCAGCCCUCGGAAGGCAGGACUACACACCUCAGGCCUUGUGAAUCUAGGUUAGUGGUGCGGGGGAGGGCACACACACAAGCCUGCUGCCCCUACCCCAUUGCAGUUAGACAAUGCCAGCUGUGGUUUAAGUUCUGAGAAUCAAGAUGGAUUUAAACUGAAUGAAGUUAAUUUGGGUGGACUUCAUGGAAGCAGCAGGUUUCAUGUAGGAUCGAGAAAAGGUUUGUCAAAUUCAUAGGUACAUUAGGCACCCAACCCUACUGACUCCCGGGCUAAUAAUAAUAACUGGCCUUUGUCGUGCGGCAAGCCCCUUACUAAGGCUUUGAAUACUCCUUAUGUUAGUUAAUCCUCACACCCAACUGUAUGAAGCACGGUUAUUUUCACCGAUUUAAAAUGAAGAAACAGAAGUACAGAGAGGGAAAGUGACCAUCUCAGGGUCGCACAGCUAGUGAGUACCAGGGCAGAGACUUGAACUCGGUCCGCCCGGCCCCAGAGCGAGACCCGCCACUACCUCCACGCACCCUCCCUGCCUGGGUGAUAUGGCUGAGCAGCAGGCGGAGGCUUUGUACCCCCAGCUGCGGAGAGCAGGGACUCCCAGGCACGAUGGGCCCCGCCCGCACUGGUGGUGUGCGGAGGACGCGCAGGUCUCGCUGGGAUGACCCGGGCGGGGGGGCUGUGCGACAACGGCCUGGCGGGACAGGGCGCCUGGAGCCCGUUUCCACCGCCGCACAGUCCUCAGGAUUCCCGAAGAGGUAAAAUAGAUAUAAAAAAAACCCCGGAUUCCCCGGAGUAUUCGGCAUCCCAGCCGCCGGUCCUCAGCCACAGUAUAUUGAUUCUUCUUUGAUUCUGAAAUAAAUUGCAUCAAGAAAGAGUAUCAGGGCUGGGCACGGUGGCUCAUGCCUGUAAUCCCAGCACUUUGGGAGGCCGAGGAGGGCGGAUCACGAGGUCAGGAGAUCGAGACCAUCCUGGCUAACACGGUGAAACCGCGUCUCUACUAAAAAAAGAAAAAAAAAUUAGCCGGGCGUGGUGGCGGGCGCCUGUAGUCCCAGCUACUCGGGAGGCUGAGGCAGGAGAAUGGCGUGAACCCGGGAGGCGGAGCUUGCAGUGAGCCGAGAUCGCGCCACUGCCCUCCAGCCUGGGCGACAGAGGGAGACUCCGUCUCAAAAAAAAAAAAAAGAAAGAAAGUAUCAGACUUGCAAUCAAGAGAUACAGCCCGAGUUCUAGUCCUACCCCUGCCACUAUCUGACUGUGUGACCUUGGGCCAGUCGCUUCCCCUCUCUGGGCCGCGGAGGUUAAAACUGGCCCUUUCCCCCGUCUCUGCAGCUCACAUCCCCCUGCGACGUGGCCGCCUGGCCGCCGAGCUUUCGGGGUGCCGGGAAGCACGAGCUGCGCGCAGGUCGCGGGGUCCGCGGGUGGCGGCCCACUCUGCUCCUGCCCGACGCCCAGCUUGGGGUGCCGUUCGUUGAAAAGGCUCCGGGAUCCUGCGGAGACUCAGCCCCGCCCCACUGCCCUUCGGCAUGAAGGUCUGCACAAGGUCAGGGAGGAUCUUGCAUUCCUCCCUCCGUCCCUGUUCCCUGGGGCAGCUCACGUGAAUGGGCACCCAUCCUCCAACCUGAUAGCGCUCCUCGGCAGCCCUCGGUUCAUCCCCCAUAGGGCCGCGGGUGAGCGUUGUCAGGCACAGCCCUGCUCACCCUUUUCGUUCUUUUUUUUUUUUCUUUUUCUUUUUUGAGGCUCUGCCUCAAAAAAGUGGCGCGAUCUCGGCUCACUGCAACCUCCCCCUCCGGGGCUUAGGCGAUUCUCGUGCCUUAGCCACCUGAGUAGCUGGGACUACAGGCCUGCGCCACCACGCCCGGCUAAUUUUUGUAUUUUUAGCAGAGACGGGGUUUCACCAUUUGUUGGCCAGGCUGGUCUUGAACAUCUGACCUCAGGCGAUCCACCCGCCUCCGCCGCCCAAAGUGCUGGGAAUACAGGCAUGAGCCACCGCUCCCAGCCCUGCUGGUCCCUUUCGAAGGAAACCUUCGCUGGCUCCCUAGUGCCCUGGAAUAACACUGAAACCCCUUAGAACGGUGGAGAAGGCCUAUCUCCAUCUGCCCCAACAUCAUUCCCCAGUUUCGCGUUCUUCCCUCACCUUAAGGAAGUGCUUAGAGAUGUUUAAAGCAGAGGUUCAGGAGUCUACCAGUUCCUAGCUAUGUGACUUUAGGCCAGUUGCUGCUUAUUGCUAAACCUUGAUUUCCACAUCCUUAAAAUGGGGGUGGCAGCACACAUUCCGCAGGACAGGCUGAGGAUUAAGUGAGUCACUUAGCAUAGUUCCUGGAACACACUCAACUCACCCUAAGUGCUUGUUAUUAUAAUUCUCAGCCCACAUUUGGCUACCACCUCCUACUUCCUCAAGCUUGUCAUUGUCUUUCCCUACAUUGUGCCUCCAUGCAUACCUGGAAAGCCCUUCCUCUUCUCUUCCCCACCCUGUAGGUUCUUACACACCCUUUAAAGCCCAAAUCAAAGGCCAUUGCCUGUGAAGACUUCUACCCUUCCUGCCAACAGGGUAAAGAGUUCUUCGUCCUCUAUCUGCUCAUCAUCACCUAGGGACCACACUCAGCAUCACACAUGGUGGACAGCUGGCCUUAAGUGCCUCCUGCCAACCUCAAAGGAAGAGGCUGGGGCACGAAAUAUAAUUUGAAGAGUUUACUUGAGUCAAAGUGAGGACAGCUGCUGAGAAGACUCAGAAUCAAGUAACCUCAGAUAUGAGCUCCAUUUGGCCUUUGUUACAUACAAGCAGGUGUUUAAACAUAUAUAUGUGUGUGUAUAUGUAUAUUUCCUCCCACCUCAGCCUCCCUAGUAGCUAGGGACUACAGACACGCACCACCAUACCCAGCUAAUUUUAAUUUUUAAUUAUUUUUUUUUUUUUUGUAGAGACAAAGUCUCAUUAUGUUGCCCCGGCUGUUCUCGAACUCCUGGGCUCAAGGGAUCCUCCUGCCUCAGCCUCCCAAAGUGCUGGGAUUACAGGUGUGAGCCACUGUGACUGGUCACAAGCAGGUUUCUUUGUUUCAUUUUGUUUUGAGACGGGGUCUCACUCUGUUGCCCAGGCUGGAGUGCAGUGGCAUGAUCUCGGCUCACUGCAGCCUCAAACUGUUGGGCUCAAGCAAUCCUCCCACCUCAGCCUCCUAAGUAGCUGGGACCACAGGCAUGAGCCACCACGCCCUGCUAAUUUUUUAUUUCGUUGUAGAGACGGAUUUUGCCAUGUUGCCCAGGCUCACAAGCAGGUUUCUAAAGACAAAAAAAGAAUAGGGAGAGGGCUAUUACAGAGUUGUGUGUCAGGAAUUCUCAUUGGUUUACAGAAAUAACAUUGGUUCGUGAUUGGCCUGGCAAGCAGUUUUAAGAGAUGAAUACAUAGCUUAAAGUGGGAUGUAGGACUGAUUACUGUCUCAUUUAUUAAUUUAAAAGGACUUGAAUUGCCCAGAUGAAAGUUCUUUUCUCGACUGGGCGCGGUGGCUCACACCUGUAAUCCCAGCACUUUGGGAGGCCGAGGCGGGCGGAUCACGAGGUCAGGAGAUCAAGACCAUCCUGGCUAACACAAUGAAACCCCGUCUCUACUAAAAAAUACAAAAAAUUAGCCGGGCGUGGUGGCGGGCUCCUGUAGUCCCAGCUACGCGGGAGGCUGAGGCAGGAGAACGGCGUGAACUGGAGAGGCGGAGCUUGCAGUGAGCCGAGAUCGCGCCACUGCACUCCAGCCUGGGCGACAGAGCAAGACUCCGUCUAAAAAAAAAAAAAAAAAAGAAAGAAAGUUCUUUUCUCACCCCUAAUAGGAUGGAGUAGACUACAUAGCUCCACCUAUUUUGGCUCCUGUGAAAAAUAUUGAGCCUGAAUCUAAUGAGGCCUAUAAGAACUAGCUUCAGUUACGAAAAGUUCAGGGGAUAGAGGAACACGUUAAACAACACACAAAGAAGCAAUCAGACAAAGCCAGAAUGUGAAACAGUUUAUAAGACAACUGCCAUAAUCUCUUAAAAGCCAAUGUUGUAAAAACAAAAAAAAGUAAUGGGGAGGAGGUUCUAGAUUUAAAGAGACCUAAUAGUCUAACAAGCCAAAUAUAAGAUGUGAUUCUUGAUUAUAUCUUGAUUUAUUACUAUAAAAAAAUAAGGACCACGUUUUUAUUUUUAUCAUAUUUAUUUAUUUAUUUUGAGACAGGGUCUCACUCUGUUGCCCAGGCCGAAGUGCAGUGGUGUGAUCCUAGCUCACUGCAAGCUCAAAUUCCUAGACUCAAGCCAUCCUCCCUCUUCAGCCUCCCCACAGCUGGGACUAUAGGUGCAAGACAUCAUACCUGGCCAUUUUUUUUUUUUUAUUUUAGUAGAGAUGACAUCUCACUACAUUGCCCAGGCUGGCCUGGAACUCCUAGCUUCAAGCCACCUUCCCACCUUGACUUCCCAAAGCACUGAGAUUACAGGUGUAAGCGACUAUACCUGGCCCACCAUGCUUUAGACAAUGGGGAAAUUUCACUAUGAACUUGGUAUUAGAUGAUAUAAGAAAAUUAUUGCUAAUUUUGUGAGACGUGUUAAGUGUAUUGUUAUGGAAGAGAAUGAUCUAAUUUUUGGAAAUACAUGCUGAAGUGUUUAGGGUUGAAGUGUUAGAAUAUCUGUAAUUAGCUUUAAAAUGCUUUAGCCACAGAUUUUAUAUAUAGUGAGAUGGAGAAAACAGUAAAAUGUUGACAAUUGUUGCUAUGUGAUUGAUGUAUAGGUAUUUGGUUUAUUGUUUUUUUUUAUUUUUCUGAUAUUUUCAAAAGAAAAAUUUUCUUUCCCUUUUUUUUGUUAUUGUUGUUGAGACAGGGUUUCAACUCCUGGACUCAAGCAAUCUUCCUGCCUCAGCCUCCCAAAGUGUUGGGAUUACAGGCGUGAGCCACUGCACCUGGCCCAAAAUAAAAAGUUUUUUAAAAAACACUUCUAGGCUGGGCACGGUGGCUCACGCCUGUAAUCCCGGCACUUUUGGAGGCCGAGAUGGGCGGAUUACGAGGUCAGCAGAUCGAGACCAAUCUGGCUAACAUGGUGAAACCCCGUCUCUACUAAAAAUACAAAAAAUUAGCCAGGCGUGUUGGUGGGUGCCUGUAGUCCCAGCUACUCGGGAGGCUGAGGCAGAAUGGCGUGAACCUGGGAGGCGGAGCUUGCAGUAAGCAGAGAUCGCCUCACUGCACUCCAGCCUGGGGGACAGAGUGAGACUCCGUCUCAAAAAAAGAAAAAAAAGAAAAAGCACUUCUUCAGUGCUCUAAUAGCAAAUUUGGGGCCCUCAUUAAUAUCACAAUAUGGCUUAUGCAUGUAAAUCCCAGUACUUUGGGAGGCCGAGGCGGGCAGAUCACGAGGUCAGGAGCUCGAGACCAGCCUGACCAACAUGGUGAAACCCCGUCUCUACUAAAAAUACAAAAAUCAGCUGGGCAUGGUGGCGCGCGCCUGUAAACCCAGCUACUCAGGAGGCUGAGGCAGGAGAAUCACUUGAACCUGGGAGGCGGAGGUUGUAGCGAGCCAAGAUCGUGCCACUGCAUUCCGGCCUGGAAGACAGAGCAAGGCUCCGUCUCAAAAAAAAGAGUUAUAGACUACCCUGGCCAACAUGGUGAAACCCUGUCUCUAUUAAAAAUACAAAAAGUAGCCAGGCGUGGUGACGCAUACCUGUAAUCCCAGCUACUUGGGCGGCUGAGGCAGGAGAAUCCCUUGAACCCGGGAGGCAAAGGUCACAGUGAGCCAAGAUCGUGCCGCUGCACUCCAGCCUGGGCGACAGAGCAAGACUCUAUCUCGAAAAAAAAAAAAUUACAAUAUAUUGCUGGCAUACAUCACCUCCAUACACGGAAUCACAAUAUAUGGAGGUGAUGUACGCUAGUAGGUCUUGCCAUUCAGAUGACAGAUUAUGGGCUCCUGGGGAUAGCAGCUAGGUUUAGAUCAACUAUAUUUAUCUCAGAGUGUCCAGUACAUAAUAAAUAUUCAACAAAUACUCAUUGAGGCUGGGCACGGUGGCUCACUCCUAUAAUCCUAGCACUUUGGGAGGCCAAGGCAGGGAGAUUGCUUGAGACCAGGAGUUUGAGACCAGCCAGGGUAACACGGAGAAACACUUUUUCUACAAAAAAUUAAAAAAUUAGCCAGGCAUGGUGGCAUGUGCCUGUAGUCCCAGCUACUUGGGAGGCUGAGGUGGGAGAAUUGCUUGAGCCUGGGAGGUUGAGGCUGCAGUGAGCCGAUAUUGUGCCACUACUCUCUAGCCUCAGUGACAGACAGAGACCCUGUCUCAAAAACAACAACAGCAACAACAACAAAACCAAAGCAAAUGCUCAUUGAAAGAAUGAAGACUGCAUUGCUAGAGUGCAUGGUUCAUUAGUAAACUUAUUCUUAGGAAUCUCUGAAUGCAAAAUGAUAAUGGGAAAUGUUUUUCCAGCCCUUACUGUGUCCCAAGCUUGGUGCAAAGCCCUUCAUAUGCAUUGUCUCAUGUAAUCCUUACAGUGAUCCUAUAAGGUAAAGAAAAUACUAGUCUCAUUUUACCCCUGAGAAAACAGGUACACAGAGAGGUGAAGGAGCUUGCCCCUGCAUUAUUCCAUUAGUAAUGGCAGAAGAAGCAGUUGGUUCUCACCCUCACACUCCAUUGGCUUGUACCUUUCUUGUAUCAUCUGUAAAUCAAAGAAAAUGACCAAGGCAGGUAUCAAUCAUUUUAGGAAGAGGUUUACUUGCCAAAGUUAAGGACGCAAGCCUGAGAGAAGGAUCUAUGCCUUUCUCCAAAGAUGAUUUUGAGGGCUUCAAUAUUUAAAAAGAGAAAGUGUGGAUAUUGGGGGAAUGCACAAUUUUCAUGUGAGAGGGGUGUAGAGGAAAUCGUCCUUCAUUCCUUGACUGGAUCAGUGAAUCUGCAUUUUUACAUAAGAUAAUGUAAACAAUAGGGCAAAGGAAGCAAUCUGAUACGCAUUUGUUUCAGAGGAGCAGAGAGUUGACUUUGAGUUCUGUCCUAUGUCAUGCACCUGUGAUGAUAAGCUGUCAAUUUACAUUGCCAGGGUGAAAUUCAACAGAAUUGUUUUAGGGUAAAGAUCUUGGGGCCCGCCAGGAAUUUCCUUGUGGGCAGACUGUGAGGGAGGUAUGUAGCUUUUUAUCUUUUUUUUUUUUUUUCUUCUCUUUGUAGCCAUCUUAUUUAUGAACCAAAUGGGGAGGCAGGUUUGCAUGACCCAGUUCCUAGCUUGACUUUUCCCUUUGGCUUAGAGAGUUUGGGAUUCCAAGAUUUAUUUUCCUUUCACACAUCCUGUCAGCAUAAGGAAUUAUGUGCGUGUACCUGUCUUAGCACCUGUGUCUACUAGACUAGGAGCCCUUCAAAAGUGAAAGGAAGAAAGCACAUCCACACAAAACCUUGUGCACAAAUGUUUGUAGCAGCAUUAUUCAUAAUAGCGAAAAUGUGUCAGCAACCCAAACAACCAUACUUGGUGACUGGAUAGACAAAAUGUGGUAGAUUCAUACAUUGGAAUGUUAUUCAGCCAUAACAGGGAAUGAAGUUCUGAUAUAUGCUAUAACGUCGAUGAACCUUGAAAACAUUAUGCUAUGUGAAAGAAGCCAGUCUCAAAUGACCACAUAUUAUGAUUCCAUUUAUAUGAAUGUCCAGAAUAGGCAAAUUCAUAGAGACAGAAAUUAGAUUCGUGUUUACUUAGGACUUGGGGCUGGUGCAGGGGGGAUAGAAAGACUAAGGGAUAAUAGCUAAAAGGCGCAAGGAUUUGUUUUUUGUUUGUUGUUGUUGUUGUUUUUAAAACAGAGUCUCUCACUCUAUCCUCCAGGCUGGAGUGCAGUGGUGCCAUCAUGGCUCACUGCAGCCUCGGACUCCUGGGCUCAAGUGAUCCUCUCGCCUCAGUCUCCCAAGUAGCUGAGACUGCAGUCAUGUACCACUAUACCAGGCUAAUUUUUUAAUUUUCAGUUGAAAUGAGGUUGGGUGGUUUUUUUUUUUAAAUUACAAAAUACUUUAUUGCCAAAAAUGCUAACAAUCAUCUGAGCCUUUAGCAAGUCGUACACUUUGUAUUUUUGCUUUUAUUAUAAUUUUUCAUGGACACAUAAUAAUUGUACAUUUUUAUGGUAAACAGCGUGAUAUUUCAAUACAUAUAUACAAUGUGUAAUCAUCAAAUCAGGGUAAUUAGCAUAUCUGUCACUUCAAAUAUUUAUCAUUUCUUUGUGUUGGGACAGGGAUUCUUUUUGAGGUGAUGAAAAUAUUCUAAAAUCUAUUGUAUGGCGGGGCACUGUGGCUCACGCCUGUAAUCCCAGCACUUUGGGAGGCCGAGGAGGGUGGAUCACCUGAGGUCAGGAGUUCGAGACCAGCCUGGCCAACAUGGUGAAACACUGUCUCUACUAAAAAUGUAAAAAUUAGCCGGAUGUGGUGGCAGGCGCCUGUAAUCCCAGCUACUAGGGAGGCUGAGGCAGGAGAAUUGCUUAAAUCCAGGAGGCGGAGGUUGCAUUGAGCUGAGAUCACACCACUGCACUCCAGCCUGGGCGACAAGAGCGAGGCUGUGUCUCAAAAUAAAUAAAUAAAUAAAUAAAAAUUGAUUGUAGUGACAGUUGCACAACUCUGUUAAUAUACUAAAAACAAUUGAACUUACAUUUUAGAUGGGCAAAUUAUAUUGUGUGUGAUUAUAUCUCGGUAAAGCUGAAGAAAAGGAAAUAUCUAAUUCACCAAUGAAUCUGCCAAGCUAGUUAAAUAAAUAAAACUAGUGAAUGAAUAGCUGUUUCCCUUGCAGUUGACAAAAAUAUGCCCUAGUUCCAAAGUCUAAAAUGAAUUCCCUUGACUGUCUCAGGGGCAUGCUUGCGCCUAGCUCUCGGGAACCCAUUAGUGUACUAAUAAGAAACCUGAUAAUUCAGUCAAUAAUUCCUGAGGUUGUCAGUGCCACUCCGGAAGAAGAGAGAAAUGCACAGACUAUUUCUUUCGAUACAAGCUGUGGGAUUGCAGAGCGAGGGGCCGCCAGGAUGUUCUGCCUGGAAAAGGGCCCCUGGAGAUCUCACUGUGGUCUGUUCCCACUUGGCUAAUCUUGAGUCAUUUAUGUGGGCUUAUCUGACUAUUCCUGUUUUUCCCCUCACCCUGGACAUUCAGAAGGACUGUUGUAGUUAAAGCUCCAGAAUAAAGUAACUCCUGAGGUUCUGUGGGAAUAAUUUCACUGUGAAGGACACAAACACUUCAAUGGAUGUCAAUCACAUGUCAGGGAAGGAGUGCUUGUUUAAAAUAAAGAUUCUUGGGCCCCAUUCCUGGAGAUUCAAAUUUUGUAAGACUAGGAUAAGGCCAUGGGCUCUGCAUUUUAAAUAAAGCAUUAGGCCAGGUGUGGUGGCUCAUGCCUGUAAUUCCAGCACUUUGAGAGGAUGGCUUGAAGCCAGCAGUUCAAGACCAGCAUGGGCAACAUAGCAAGACCCCUCUUUCUACAAAAAAAAAAAAAAUUUAAAUAAUUAAAACAUAAAUAAAUAAAGCACCUGAAGUGUUCCUGAAACGGGACUACUGGCCAUGUGAGAGACACCGACCUAACUAAAGAAUAGACAGGGGAAAUUGAACAUGUACAUUAUCUCAGGCAUAAAAAUGGGUUUGCUUAGGGAUCUUAGAGACCAUUGAAUUGAGUAGUUUUCGUACUGUGUCCACAGGAACUCCUUAGGGCUCCAUGGAACACCUGGAGGGGACUGUUGAGUGGUGGAGGGACCGAGGUACAAAUGGGUCUACCCCAGCACAUGCCCCUUCAACAGCUCCAUUUUAAUCCAUUUUCUAUACUGGAGAUUGAGUUCUAUUGCUUAAAAACCACUAAGCCUGCCCUGUCCCUCCUAUGCAAGUGGAGAAACUGAGGCCCGGAGAGGAAAACAGGUUUUCCCAAGGCGAUGGCAGAACCAGAACUGAUUCCAGGACUCUUAUUCCCAUCCAGAACCCUUCCCAUUAGGGAAUUCCAGUUUUUGAUACAUCCAUUCAUUUUUGGGUGGCUUUUCCUCUCUGCCUCCAGCAAAUCUCACAUAAGACAGCAGGGCCUGGACUAGGGUGAGGGGAAUGAGGUAACUGCCUCAGGCACAAAAUUUUGACAGGUGCAAAAAAAUGCAGUAAUCAAAUAAUAUUUUAAUACAAUAUUUUAAAAAUCAAAAUUAAUGCAAAAAGGUAUGAUGAACAAAAUGCCCAAAUUUUAAAUAAAAGCAGGAUCAGUAGUUCUAAUUUUUCCUUUUGCCCUGAGCUCCAAGAUGGCUAUAUUCUGCACUAUUAUUCACCCUGCCUUUAUUUAAAAUUUGGGUAUUUGAGUCAUUGUGUGUUUUUUCAUAUUAAUUUUCAUCUUAUAAAAUAUUGUGGCUGGUCGCAAUGGCUCACACCUGUAAUCCUGGCACUUUGAGAGGCUGAGGUGGGAGGAUCACUUGAGUCCAGGAGGUUGAGGCUGCAGUGAGCCAUGAUCGUGCUACUGCACUCCAGCCUGGGCAACAGAGUGAGACCCUGUCUCAAAUGAAAUAAAAUAUUGCAUUAAAGUAUUAUUUAUCUAGAUUACUGAGAUGAUGUUGUUGUUGUGGUUUGAGACAGGGUCUUGCUCUAUCACCUUUGUUGUUGUUGUUUGAGACAGGGUCUCGCUCUAUCACCCAGGACUCCAGCCUGGGUGUCAGAGAGAGACUCCAUCUCAAAAAAAAAAAGAAAAAAAUAUUUGUAGAGAUAGCAUCUCGCUAUGUUGUCUAGAUUGGUUUUGAACUCCUGGGCUCAAGAUAUUCUUCCUCCUCAAUCUCCCAAAGUGUUGGGAUUACAGUUGUGAGCCACUGUGCUCGCUCUGAGUUGGUGUUUUCUUUUGUUUUUUGUUUGUUUGUUUGUUUUUUGUCUUAAUUUAGUGCCAAUGGCAAGUGCCUCACUUGCCUUACCCUUACCUGGGCCCUAUAAAACAGGUCUUUUGGCAGACAGCUAAGUAACGCCCCAUUGCCCUCUGGGAAUCCCUCCAGAUCCUAUCACUUCGUUUGUCUGACAGAAUUGAUGUUUACUUGGUCUCAAUGUGACAUUGCUUUUGUCACCUGACCUGCAGAGAGGUUUGCAUUUUACAGUGGAUAUUUGUUUUGCUGACCCAGCGAAAGUCUCCCUUCUGGCAACAGCAACCAUAUGUUGCUUGGGAAGCCUCCCCUCCCCAUGUUCAGAGCUGACUCCAGCCCAUAGGGAAAGGUGGGCCCAUGACUCAGCUCUGCCAGUCAGACCCCCUGGUCACAGUGAUGGGCCAGGAAUAGAUAUGUGACUCAGUUACAGCCAAUGAGACUCAAUUCUGGGGAUAUGGUCCGAACUUUGGGGAGGGAAACUUUCUUUUUUUUUUUUUUUUUGAGACAGAGUCUCGCACUGUUGCCUGGGCUGGAGUGCAGUGGUGUGAUCUCAGCUCACUGCAACCUCCGCCUCCCAGGUUGAAGCUAUUCUACUGCCUCAGCCUCCUGAGUAGCUGGGAUUAUAGGCGCCUGCCACCAUGACCAGCUAAUUUUUUAUAUUUUUAGUAGAGAUGGGGUUUCACUAUGUUGGCCAGGCUGGUCUGGAAUGCCUGACCUCGUGAUCCACCCCUGUCGGCCUUCCAAAGUGCUGAGAUUACAGGUGUGAGUCACUGCACCCGGCCAAACUUUCUCUUUUAUCUGUAGUAGCUGAGAAGUUAGGAUAUAAGCCACCAUUGUGGACCUGAGCCUUUUUGUGACAGGAGCUCCCACAGACACAGCAGGAUUGAGUGAUGGAGACAGGGAGGAGACAUCCUGAUGAUACUGCUUGAGCCACUGGGUCUACUGUGUACAAAGAAGUCUACCCUCUGGACUUAAUGGGUGCAUGGGCCAACUCUUGCCUAAAUGGUUUGAGUUACGCCUCUGUCACUUAGAUGGUUCAUUCCCUCUCACCUGCAUUCUGGCCAGGUUGGCCCCAGGAGAUGUUUAGUGGAGCCCAGCACCUAUCACUAGAGUUCUGCCCUAAGUAUCUUCAAGUGGCCAGGUGCGGUGGCUCAUGCCUGUAAUCCCAGUGCUUUGGGAGGCCAAGGUGGGCGAAUCACCUGAGGUCAGGAGUUUGAAACCAGCCUGGCCAACAUGGUGAAACCCCAUCUCUACUAAAAAUACAAAAAUUUCCCGGGCGUGGUGGUGGGCACCUGUAAUCACAGCUACUAGGGAUGCUGAGGCAGGGGAAUUUCUUGAACCCAGGAGGCGGAGGUUGCAGUGAGCCAAGACCAUGCCAUUGCACUCCAGCCUGGGCAACACGAACGAAACUCCAUCUCCAAAAAAAAAAAAAACUUCAAGUGGUGGCAUUUAAAUUACCCUUCAUUCAAGGGCAGCCUUACAAGGCAAAAGGCAUUGAUAGCAACAACUCUAGAAAGCAUGACUGAGCAUUGGUGCCAUUGUCAGGUCCUGUAAUACAUAUUUACACAUCCACUUAUUUGUCCUCUAACAACUCUGUGAAGUAGGUUACACUAUUACUUGUAGGCUGAAAUACAGUUUAUCUACCCCCAAGCUAACUGUCCCAAAUCACCAACCAGAGGCAAAGAGAGGACACUGGUUGUGCUGGGCGAGAUGGCUCACGCCUGUAAUCCCAGCACUUUGGGAGGCCGAGGUGGGCGGAUCACGAGGUCAGGAGUUCAAGACCAGCCUGGCCAACAUGGAGAAACCCCAUCUCUACUAUAAAUACAAAAAAAAUUAGCCGGGCGUGGUGGCGCGUGCCUGCAGUCCCAGCUACUCAGGAGGCUGAGGCAGGAGAAUCGCUUGAACCCGGGAGGUGGAGGUUGCAGUGAGCCAAGAUCGCACCACUGCACUCUAGCCGGGGCAACAGAGUGAGACGCUGUCUCAAAAAAAAAAAAAAAAAAAAAAAAAAAGAGAGGACACUGGUUAACCAGCAGAUGAGCCUGCUUUCCCUCAUUUUGUCUCUUUUGUAAACGGAUAGUUUUUCUAGGAGGCAGACUCUUUCUAAGAACAGCUGCGCUGGGCGUUAGCAAACUCCUAUCUAUACACUUUCAGCAUCUUGAAAUAAAGGACCUUAUGCCAGUUGCCUUUGGCCUGGGAAUGGGUCAGCACCUAGGGUAGCUCAGGCCUUCAUGAUUGGCAGGUGGACUGACCAACUGACUGGGGCCCCUUUGCCAUCUGCACUCAUUUUGACUGUGGCCAUUUUUGUAAUCUAUGCUCAUUUAUUCAUUCAACAGGCUGGGCAUGGGGGCCUCUCUAAUCCCAGCACUUUGGGAGAAUGAGGCAGGAGACUCACUUGAGCCCAGGAGUUCAAGGCUGCAGUGAGCUAUGAUUGUACCACUGCAUUCCAACCUGGGAGACAAAGUGAGACCUUGUCUCUAAAAAACAUUUUUUUGUUUAUUUUCAGAUGGAAUCUUGCUCUGUCUCCCAGGCUGGAGUACAAUGGCACCAUCUCUGCUCACUGCAACCUCCGUGACCUGGGCUCAAGCAAUUCUCCUGCCUUAGCCUCCGGAGUAGCUGGGAUUACAGGCGCCCACCACCAUGCCCAGCUAAUUUUUGUAUUUUUAGUAGAAAUGGGGUUUCACUAUGUUGGCCAGGCUGGUCUCGAACUCCUGACCUCAGGUGAUCCGCCCUCCUCAGCCUGCCAAAGUGCUGGGAAUACAGGCAUGAGCCACCGCGCCCAGCCAAAAUUUUUUUAAAUAAAUAAAUAUUCAUUCAACAAGCAUUGAUUGAGUGCCAGCUAUAUGCUAGGUACCAUUUCAAGCACUGGGGAUACAACAGUGAACAACACUAGGGGCAAUGUAUACCCCCAGGGAGCUGGUGGUCUUGUCAGAGAGGCACACAUUAAGCAAAUGGUUGCAUGUGCAAUUAUUUAACCCAUUUCCCAUUUACCCCCAGAAAUGAACACUGGCAACAAGCUGCACUUUUUUUCUAAAUGAGAAAUGGGUUAAUUACAAGUACGAUAAGCACUGAGAAGGAAAAGUUCGUGGUGUUAAUGGGAGUGUGCAAAUGGGUAUCCUAAGUCCGUUGACUGUGAGACUAAGCAAUUUUCUUCAUUUGGCAGGUAUGUUUGAUUGACAGGGCUAGGGACAGUGUUAGGUGGUGAGUGCUGGUCAAAGAAUAGGGAACAGGCUGGGCGUGGUGGCUCAUGCCUGUAAUCCCAGCACUUUGGGAGGCCAAGGUGGGUGGACCACUGGAGGUCAGGAGUUCGAGAUCAGCCUGGCCAACAUUGUGAAACCUGGCCCCUACUAAAAAUACAAAAAUUAGCUAGGUGUGGUGGCUCACGCCUGUAAUCCCAGCUACUUGGGAGGCUGAGGCAUGAGAAUUUCUUGAACCUGGGAGGCAGAGGCUGCAGUAAGCCGAGAUCGUGCCAUUGCACUCCAGCUUGGGCGACAGGAAUGAAACCCUGUCUCAAAAAAAAAAAAAAAAAAAAGCUUCUGCACAGCAGAAACUAUAACAGAAUAAAUAGACAACCUACAGAACAGGAGAAACUAUUUGUAAACUAUGCAUUCGAAAAAAGAGCUACUAUCCACAAUCUAUAAGGGGACUUAAUAAAUUAACAAGCAAAAAACAACUCCAUUAAAAAAUGGACAAAGGACAGGGCCGGGCAUAGUGGCUCACGCCUGUAAUUCUAGCUCUUUGAGAGGCUGAGGCUGGUGAAUCACCUGAGGUCAGGAGUUUGAGACCAGCCUGGCCAACAUGGAGAAACCCUGUCUCUACUAAAAAUACAAAAAUUAGCUGGGCCUGGUGGCAUGCGCCUGUAAUCCCAGCUACUCAGGAGGCUGAGGAAGGAGAAUUAUGUGAACCUAGGAGGCGGAGGUUGCAGUGAGCUGAGAUUACGCCACUGCACUCCAGCCUGGGCGACAGAUCAAGACUCCGUCUCAAAAAAAAAAAAAAAAAGGCAAAGGACAUGAAAAGACACUUCUCAAAAGAAAACAUACACACAGCCAACUAGCAUAUGAAAAAAUGCUCAACAUCACUAAUCAGAGAAACGCAAAUCAAAACCAUGAUGAGAUACCAACUUACACCAGUCAGAAUGGCUGUUAUUAAAAAGUUAAAAAAUAGGCUAGUCUGAAGAUAGUGAGUUAUCUCGAUUGUUCACAGCCAGUUACAGAUCAAACUCCUUGUUCUUUUUAUUUAUUUAUUUAUUUUUUUGAGAUGGAGUCUCGCUCUGUCACCCAGGCUGGAGUGCAAGUGGUGCAGUAUCAGCUCACUGCAACCUCUGCCUCCCAGGUUCAAGGGAUUCUCCUGCCUCAGCCUCCCGAGUAGGUGGGAUUACAGGCACCUGCCACCACACCGGGUAAAGUUUGUAUUUUUCUAAUAAAGACCAGGUUUCACCAUGUUGGUCAGGCUGGUCUCGAACUCCUGACCUCAGGUGAUCUGGCUGCCUUGGCCUCCCAAAGUGCUGGGAUUACAGCCAUAAGCCACAGCGCCCGGCCAAACUCCUUGUUCUACUCUUUCCCCCUUCUCACUACUGCACUUGACUGUCUUUAAAAAAAAAGGCAAAAAAAUAACAGAUGCUAGUGAGGUUGCAGAGAAAAGGGAAAGCUUAUACACUGUUGGUAGGAAUGUAAAUUAAUUCAGUCGCUGUGGAAAGCAGUUUGGGGAUUUCUUAAAGAACUUAAAACAGAACUAUAUAUCAAAAACAAAAUAAAUCAUUUUAUCAAAAAGACAUAUACACUCACAUGUUAAUCACAGCACUAUUCACAAUAGCAAAGACGUGGAAUCAACCUAGAUGCCCACCAACGGUGGACUGGAUAAAGAAAAUGUGGUACAUAUGGCCGGGCGCGGUGGCUCACGCCUGUAAUCCCAGCACUUUGGGAGGCUGAGGUGAGCAGAUCACCUGAGGUCAGGAGUUCCAGACCAGCCUGGCCAACACGGCGAAACCCCAUCUCUACUAAAAAUCAAAAAUUAGCUGGGCAUGGUGGCAGGGACCUAUAAUCCCAGCUACUUGGAGGCUGAGGCAGGAGAAUCACUUGAACCUGAGAGGCAGAGGUUGCAGUGAGCCAAGAUGGCACCACUGCACUGCAGCCUGGGAGACAGAGUGCGACUUUGUCUCAAAAUAAUAAUAAUAAUAAUAAUAAUAAUAAUAAUAAUAAUAAAAUGUGGUACAUAUACACCAUGGAAUACUACACAGCCAUACAAAAAGAAUGAAAUCAUGUCCUUUGCAGCAACAUGGAUGGAGCUGGAGGUCAUUAUCCUAAGCAAGUUAAUACAGAAACAGAAAACCAAAUAACCACAUGUUCUCACUUGUAAGUGGGAGCUAAACUUUGAGUACAUAGGGCCUCAAAGAUGGAAAUGGUAGACACUGAGGAUUUACUUGAGAGUGGAGGGUGGGAGGAGGGUGAGGAUUGAAAAACUACCUAUCCUGUACUAUGCUUGUUACAUGGGUGAUUAAAUAAUCUGUACACCAAAUCCCUCUGACUCACAAUUUACGUAUAUAACAAACCCACACACACAUCCCCUGAACCUAAAAUAAAAGUUGGAAAGUUGGAAAAAAAAAAAACAAAAAACUUAACCUAAAGUAAUCAGAAACAGAAGUAGCCAAUAAAGUAGGGACUUGUCUAUAAGGUAAACAAACAAAAAAAGAGGCAAUUUUAUAACUGCGACAAACCAGAUAAUUUUUAAAUUUUGCUCCUGCAUUUUCCCAGUAAAUACUUGCCUCUGACACUUUGUCAUUGAAAAAAAGAAAUAAAUCUCUCUAUUUCACACCAUCCCCCCACAUUUAUGGUCCCAAAAUCAAAAGUACCAUAAUUUAUUCAUUUUGGUUGUUUUCAGUUCUUCCAACUUAAAAAAAUGCUUUUGUCUGUCUCUUAAUGGCUAGAGUUUCUCUUGUGUAUAUAUCCAGUCAUAGAGUUUUUGGAUCAUGGAGUAUUCCCAAAUUGCUCUCAAAAGUUGUAGGGCCUGGGAGCAGUGACUCGAGCCUGCAAUCCCAGCACUUUGGGAGGCUGAGGUGGGAGGCCAGGAGUUUGAGAAUAGCCUUGGCAAUACAGCCAGACCCUAUCUCUAAAAAAAAAUGUUUUAAUGUAAAAUAAAUAAAAUAUCAUUAAGAACUCAUGGAUUUAAAUACGUUUGAUAUUUUUCAACCCCUUGCAGUUAUUUUCUUUACUGAUACUCAAGGAGUCCUGACUGUGACCAAUGGGAGUCUCUUUGACACAACUCUAUCUUCAUUGAUUUGUGACACUAGAAAAUAGUCUAAGUACAUAUUGUACAUUUUCUGCCUCAAAGCUGGAAUUGGCUACUUAUUUUUUCAAAGACACCUUGGUUCCUUUUAGUGGAAAAUAGUAUUUAGAGACCACAGUCUGGGCACUAUAAGUGCUCACUAUUUGCUAAAGCAGCAGUCCUUAACCUUUUUGGCACCAGGGACCAGUUUUGUGGAAGACAAUUUUUCCACAGCUGGGGUGGGGGGGCAUGGUUUCAGGAUGAUUCAAGCACAUUACAUUUAUUGUGCACUUUAUUUCUAUUAUUAUUAUAUUGUAAUAUGUUCAAUUUUCUGCAACUAGACGGUCCCAUUUGGGGGUGAUGGGAGAUAGUGACACCCAAAGUGGGUUGCUUAUGUCCAGUCUACUCCGUAAUCUUGUUUUGGUUGCUGACACUGCAGAAAACCCUGCUUCACAAGGAUAUGCUGUUGGAAACAGAAGGAAGCAGGCUUUUCAGUGCUUUUGUGGCAGUCUCAGGAUAUUCUGCCUUGACUUUAAUCCAGAACGUAUGGAGAUUUGAAGUCCCAAACAUACUUUUAAGGCCACCGUCAUUUGCCCUCUCAAGCAGUUGAUCCGCUUCUAGCAUGGACAAUGUCAAGUCACUUGGCUUAUUCACAAAUGGGUCGCGGAUCCAUUCCUUCCCAGUUCGGGGGUCUUUUGUGGUUGAAAAGUAAUGCUCAAACUCUUUUGAAAGCUGAGAUAGGUGAUCAUGCACCAGCUGAGAGAAAGAAGGCACUGGCUCAGUCUCUUUCUUUCAAAAAUCUCUGCUAAUGCUUGAAACCUAUCAGAAAUCCCAAUGCUCACUCGUCGCCCCCAUAAUUCCAGUUCGGCUUUGAAUGCAGCCACUUUAUCUGCCAACUUGAACAUAGUGGUCGUUGUCCCCUGAAGUGACAGAUUGAGUUCAUUGAGCAGGUUGAAUAUGUCACACGAGUUUUGCAACCCAUUCUGUGUCACUGACAUAUGCUGCCAGUGGUGACUAUUUUUCUAAAAGAAAUCUCUUGUAACUCAGAAACUCUGGCCAGUGAUCUACCUUUAGAAAGCCAUUUCACAUCUGUGUAUAAGAGAAGACAUGUGUGCUCUGUGUCCAUUUCCUCACAGAGCUGCACAAACAGAUGUGAGUUAAGGGCAUGUACUAUAAUGUGGCUGAUCAUUUUAAUUACGUUCUGCAAAAUGUUUUUUUUUGUUGUUGUUGUUUUGAGACAGAGUUUCAUUCUUGUUGCCCAGGCUGGAGUGCAAUGGUGAUCUCGGCUCACCACAACUUCCACCUCCUGGGUUCAAGCGAUUCUCCUGCCUCAGCCUCCUGAGUAGCUGGGAUUAUAGGCAUGCACCACCACACCCAGCUAAUUUUGUAUUUUUAAUAGAGACGGGGCUUCCCCAUGUUGGCCAGGCUGGUCUCGAACUUCCGACCUCUGGAGAUCCACCCACCUCAGCCUCCCAAAGUGCUGUGAUUACAGGUGUGAACCACUGCGCCUGGCCUACAAUGUUGUUAAGUUCAGGUGACAUUUCAGCAUUUCUCUAUGGAUAAAACAAGCAUUGUUGCCUUGUUGUCAACAUUGGUAGACUCGUCAACCUGGAUUGCGUACCACGGUGACUCAUUAAUCCUCUGUAACAAUUGUGUCUCAAUAUCCUCUGCCAGUUCAUCAAUUUGUCCAGUUGUGGUGCUAGCCAAAAGAGGAACACGUGUCACCUUUUGAACUGCAGCCUCUCCCAAAAGUUCAUGACAAAUGUCCUUAGCAGCAGGCAGAAUCAACUCUUCACCAAUAGUAAAGGCUUCUUAGCUUUAGCAAUGCAGUUAGCCACUAAGAAUGAUGCUCUCAGUGCAGACACAUUUGAUGAAGUGGUGGCCUUCAAUAAUUGCUUCUGCUCUUCAUGUUCACAUUCUUUUCUUUUGAAAACUCCAAAAGCUUGUCUUUUGAUGCAGGGUGCUUGGCCUCCAUGUGGUGAAGCAGUUUUGAAGGUUUCAUGGCUUCAUUGGAUAGCCAGUCGCCACAUAUUAUACAAAGCAGGCUUGGAGAAUGUGAAUCACGUGUUGCAAUGAACCCAUAAUUUAAGUAGGACUCUUGGUAUUUUCUUUUAAGUGCAGCUUUCUUUUUGUGGCAGUCUGAGUCUUCUGCUCUGUCAUCAUUGGUUCUUUCCGGCUUUUCAAAGAAGCUCUCCAGUGAGAUUUUUUUUUUUUUUUUUUUUUUUUUUUACUCAUUUUGGCUAGAGUUAGCUUGUGGGCUCACCAAAACUGUGACCAAGGCGAGUGUGCAGUGUGGGAAAGAGGCGCAGAUGGAAGCAGUAAAUAAAAUAAUGAGCGGGCCACGUAUGGACUAAAAUAAGUGUCAGAUGCUGACCUAAAGCCUGCCACCAGAUGCAGCUUAAUUGUCACUUGCUACUCACUGAUAGGGUUUUGAUAUGAGUCUGCAAGCAACUGAUUUAUUAUGGUCUCUGUGCAAUCAAACCUCUCUGCUAAUGUUAAUCUGUAUUUGCAGCCGCUCCCCAGUGCUAGCAUCGUCACCUCAAUUCUACCCCAGAUCAUCAGGCAUUAGGUUCUCAUAAGGAGUGCACAACCUAGAUCCCUGCCAUAUGCAGUUCACAAUAGGGUUCAGGCUUCUAUGAGAAUCUAAUGCUGCCGUUGAUCUGACAGGAGGUGGAGCUCAGGGGGUAAUGCAAGUGAUGGGGAGCCGCUGUAAAUACAGACAAGGCUUUGGUGGCUGCCCGCCGCUCACCUCCUGCUGUGGGGCCCAGUUUCUAACAGGCCACAGACUGGUACCAGUCCAUGGCCUGCGAGUUGGGGACCUCUGCACUAAAGGAUUGGUCAUUGUUUCUAGACCUGAAAACAGUAAACAGAGCUAGGGAAUUCACUUAGUUUAUUUGUUUUCAGAUCGGCUAAAUAAAAAAUUCAUACUGAGAGGCCAGGCACAGUGGCUUAUGCCUGUAAUCCCAGUACUUUGGAAGGCCGAGGUGGGAGGAUUGAUUAAGCCCAGGAGUUGAAAACCAGCUUGGUCAAUAUAGUGAGACCCUAUCUGUUAAAAAAAAAAUUUAGGCCAGACACGGUGGCUCACACCUGUAAUCCCAGCACUUUGGGAGGCCAAUGUGGGCAGAUCAUGAGGUCAGGAGUUCGAGACCAGCCUGACCGACAUGGUGAAACCCUGUCUCUACUAAAAAUUCAAAAAAUUAGCCGGGCAUGGUGGCGUGCACCUAUAAUCCCAGCUACUCAGGAGGCUGAGGCAGGAGAAUCGCUUGAACUCAGGAGGUGGAAGUUGCAGUGAGCCAAGAUCGCGGCACAGCACUCCAGCCUGGGCGACAGAGUGAGACUCCAUCUCAAAAAAAAAAAAAAAAAAAAAAUCAUACUGAAACCUCUAAUACAAACACAGGAUUAUGCAUUUUUUACUUAACCCCUUUCGUCUUUCACUUGUAUUUUUCUCCCACACCAAAAGUCCUGGUUCUCAGCAAUACCAACAAACUCACUUGCUUUAUUACAUACUGUAUAUCCAACAGUCUCAGAAUAAUACCAAAGCUACUACUAACAAUGUGAGACUGAAAACAGGCAGCCCUUUUUAAAAAUCAGAGUAAAAAAUUCUGAAAAUGAAAGUGGAAAGGAACCCCACAGGAAGGGUCUGUGCUGACCCCAUGUGACAGUGUGGCCGUUUGCAUUACUGCUGGAAUUUUGAAGACUACUACAUAUUCCGUCAGUGUCAGGAUUUUGUUCUUCAGUGUGGUACUUUUUUUUUUUUUUUUUUAAGAUGGAGUCUCACUCUGUCGCCUGGGUUGGAGUGCAGUGGUGUGAUCUUGGCUCACUGCAACCUCCAGCUCCCGGGUUCAAGCGAUUCUCCUGCCUCAGCCUCCUGAGUAGCUGGGAUUACAGGCAUGCGCCACCACACCUGGCUUAUUUUUGUAUUUUUAGUAGAGACGGGGUUUCACUAUGUUGGUCAGGCUGUUCUUGAACUCCUGACCUCGUGAUCCGCCCACCUCAGCCUCCCAAAGUGUUGGGAUUACAGGCGUGAGCCACCGCACCCGGUAGUGUGGUACACUCUUAAAAUCAUAGUUCCUGCUGUCUGGGAGUUUACAUAUGUCUACAGAGUGGAAGAAGCAUGAGAUUAUAGCAGUGUAGGCUACCAGAAUGAUUGUUGGGUUGGUAACCCAAGUAUGCUGGUCACCCCAAAGCUUCAGUUUCCUUGUCUUCUACAUGAGGAUAAAGAAAGGAAGGAGGAAUUUACAAGAGGGAAUCUUGGGCAAGUUGAAUCAUCUUUCUGAAUUCUUGAAUUACCUUCCAGGAAUAAAUAAGGAAUAGAUAAAAUUCCUUAUCUAUUAAGAGGGGGUACAGGGAUUGGACUAUAUUGUAGUGACAGCAGCUUUCUUUCUGUUCUCCAAACGUACCUGCUUCGGGGACCUUAUACUUGGGGUUGGUUCUCUGUGCAUUGAACACUCUUGCUCCAGCUCUUCCAAUGUCUCGUUCCUUGUCAUCAUUCAUGUCUCAGCUUUAAUAUCACCUCCCUAGGGAGGGCCUCCUGACCACAUCAUUGAAAAUAUCCAUCCUCCAUUACUUUAUCAUAUCAACCUAUUUCAUUUUUGUGGAACUAUUACUUAUCUAAUUGGCUUGUUUAUAUCUAGAUCCCCUCUCUCCAGAAUGUAAACUCAAUAAAAGUAAGGUUCUUGACUUUCUUGUUCAUUGAUAUGUCCCUAGGAACUAAAACAGAGCCUGACACAUAAUAGCUGCUGAAUAAUAAUGCCUUUUGAAUAAUGAAUGCCUGAUAAAUGACUGGAUGAGCUAUAUAAUCUCCAAAGUCUCUUUCAGCUUUAAACCCAAGAUUAUAUACUCAUUAUAGUGAGUAGAGGAUCACUAGCAUGACUAUACCAUGCUACAGAUGUGGAAACUGAGGCAGUGAGUGACUUGCCAAAGGCUUUGCAAACAGGAAAGUGGUGUGGUCCAACAGAACCGUAUGGGAAGUCAAAAGCAGGAGACUCGGGUUUGGAUCCUCACACCAUCCCUCUCUGUCGACCUUCCUUGCAAGGGCUGUGUGAACUGGACAAGCCACUUCACCCCUCCAAGGACUCAGUUGUUCCACUGAAAAGAGAAGAUGUACUAAUAACUCUGCCCCAGGGUCACUGUGAGAUCAUGUAGUCUGAACCGCACUAAGCACUUUGCAGAGUGUUUUGCUCUUCCUUUAGCCCCAGCUUGUUUUCCAGGGUGGAGAGUGGAGGUGAGGAAGGAAGCCCAGGACCAGGGCUGUGGAGGAGGGGAGACUCAGCGGGUUGCCACCAUUUGUUUACUCACCUGAGUCUCUCUGCCUCUAGCCUAGCUGUGCUCCCCGCUAAGGUAAAGAGGUGGGGUAGCCUUGCUCGGCCAAUGAGCUGCCGUCGCUCUCUUAAAGGCACCCAGCGUCUGGAAGGAAAACUAGCCUGGCAACCUGGAGAGCUCCCGGGCCAGAGCCAGGAGGCAGCUGUGCGAUCUGGAUGUACCUAAACCCUCCAGGGCCACAUAGUGACCCCAGGCCCUGGUCACUCCAUGCUUUGGAGGGUGCUUUUGUCAAAGAGGCCUCCUUUCCCUCACCCAGAGCUGGAUUUCCAAGAGGCUCCCAUACCUAGCUGCCCUGGCAGACUCCCAGGGAGGAAAAACAGCGUGGCCUUGGCAGCUGCCCCGAGGAAGGAGCCCACAGGUGACAGGGAGAAGCCAUUGCCAUUCCCUGUCCUGGCCCCCUUCAGCAACCCUGGUGAGUCCUAGCACUCUGCGUUUCUUGAACCUCAGGACAGCAGGGUGUGGUAGGAAGAUCCUUCUCCCUAGGGGCAGAAACCUUGGGUGCUGGUUCCAGCCCUGCUGUGUGACCCUGAGCGAGUCACUCCAGCUCUCUGAACCUCACAUUCCCCAUCUGGGAAAAUGAGGAGCUCAAAUUCCACUCUCAGCUUUCCUCUUCUAUUGUUUUCCCUUGUCACACCCCUUGUUCUGAAAGAUUUAAGUCUGUCAGCUGCACCUGUUACAUAAUAAUUUGUUAAUUGGUUUUCCUCUUCUAUGUGAAUUGUGGCCCUGUAAUAGCCAAUCAGUGUUUUUUGGUUAGCAGACACAAACCACUAAAUUGAUGCAGGUUUAGCCAAAAGCAGUGUAGUAUUUUAUUCUGUCUGUGAGAUCUUAUCUAGAGUCGAUAUUUGAUUUUCAUUUGACCUUUUGAAAUAUGAGAAAUAGAGCAUUUGUGAGUAAUUUCCAGGGAAUGGGGUCCCCAGGUGGGGAACUCCUAGAUCUAGUUUGCAUGGGGUUUAUAAGGACACCAGCAAAAUCCUGCCUUCACGCCCAAGCUGAGCUUUGGUCUCUGCAGUGCUGCCUCACACACAGGGUUCAUUCUUGAAAGUGAAAGCUUUGGACUUAAAAAUUUCCUAUGUGGAGAGACUGCUCCCAGGAGUCCCCACAGUGAGUUUACCCCACCUCUAGCUGGCUGAGGCUAGGGAAGCCUGGUUGGGGGAGCUGAGGUCUCCCUCAGCCCUCUGUUAGGGUGUGGCCAGGAGAGUGAUGGGAACAGGUAGGUAUGAACACAGGGCCUGGAGGCCAGGAAUAUAUGGUAGAUACCGCUUGUGCUGAAAAUCAGGAGCUAGGCCUGCAGUUCUGGUUCUGCACUGACUAGCUCUGUGACCUCAGGCAAAUUGUUUACCUCUUUGAACUCAGUUUUCCCAGCUGCAAAAUGGGGAUUGUAAUCUGGGCAAUGCUUGCCUACCAGGAUUGUUCUUAUGACCAAACAAAGUCUGUUCCAUGGAAGCUUAGAUUCCACAGAUUUUAAGAUAAAUUCAGAUUUAAAAAUACAUUUUGGGAUUGAUGAGGUAAGGUAAUGAAUGUUUUGUAAAAUGCGGCCUCUGUAGUAAUUAUUUUCUCCAAUCACUGUGUGAUAAUAAUUAAUGUGAUAAAAGAAUUACUGAUUAUGAUGGAAUCGUGGCUGCUUGUUUAAAUCCUUUUACUUUAAAAAAAUACCAUUUACUGGGACUUUUUGAAAUGUACAAUCAUAUAAACAAAAAGAAAGGGGAAAUAGCUCACUGAGUCAUGGUAUUUUCUAACGACUCGUGGGAUGGGAACCCAGUCCUGGAAUGUGGCCCCAUUGGAAGCAGCAGGAUAAUACAAUGGUUAGAACAGGCAUGUUGGAGUAGAGGAUCUUGGGCUCAAAUAUAUACUGUAAGACCUACUGAUGACCCUGGGUGUAAGUCACUUUUCUUUUCAAAGCCCCUUCUGUGCAGUCACUUGAGCUUCAGCCACCCUGUUCUCUCCUUUCCUGCAGCUCCCUGCUGAGUAAAUAAAUCUCAGAGAAUGUUGGUUUCAAGGGUUGUGGCAGCACCCUCUCUCGGGGUAGAGCCUAUGGUAGAAGGAGUGGAGUGAAAGUGAAAGCCAAAACAGUUUCUAGGAAUAGGGAACUCAGGCAGGUAUUUGAGUAACAAUGUGUGUGAGCGUUGUGUGCGUAUACGCAUGUGUGCAUGUGCACAGGAGCUAAUGAAAUUAAAAAUGAAGCCGGGUGCGGUGGCUCACGCCUAUAAUCCUAGCACUUUGGGAGGCUGAGGCAGGCAAAUCAUGAGGUCAGGAGUUUGAGACCAGCUUGGCCAACAUGGUGAAACUCCGUCUCUACUAAAAAUACAAAAAAAUUAGCUGGGCGGAGUGGUGGGCACCUGUAAUCCCAGCUACUCAGGAGGCUGAGGCAGGAGAAUCGCUUGAACCCGGGAGGCAGAGGUUGCAGUGAGCCGAGAUCACGACACUGCACUCCAGCCUGGGCGACAGAGCGAGACUCUGUCUCAAAAAAAAGAAGAAAUUAAAGUUGAAGAUUUUAAGGCCCCUGAAGGGUCAUGUUAGCCAGUCCCCUGCUCUGGGGCAAGCCUCUCUUUUUUUUUUUUUUUUUUUUUGAGUCAGUUUCACUUAUUGCCCAGGCUGGAGUGCAAUGGCUUGAUCUCGGCUCACCGCAACCUCCGCCUCCCGGGUUCAAGCGAUUCUCCUGCCUCAGCCUCCUGAGUAGCUGGGAUUACAGGCAUGUGCCACCACGCUCAGCUCAUUUUGUAUUUUUAGUAGGUCAGGCUGCUCUUGAACUCCCGACCUCAGGUGAUCUGCCCGCCUCGGCUUCUCAAAGUGCUGGGAUUACAGGCAUGAGCCACCGUGCCCGACCAAGCCUGUCUUUUAACCAACACUGAAACGUUGCUGCUGAACACCAGGGAAGACUCCUAAACGUUUUCCUUGGUAACCAGCCUUGGCAUCUCAAAAUCCUCCCAAGAGUGAAUGCGGGGUGUGUGCGAAUAUUUUUUGAGUGCCUUGGGUAUCUGAGUUAGAGUUCCAGGGACACCGAAUGACCAAACCUUGGGGAAAAAAUAGAUUUGAAGUGAAUGGACUAGGGAGCAGAAGGGAUUGGGAAUUCCUCCAAUUAGGAACUUUAGUGGAGUAGCUAUAGUUAUUGCGUACCUACGAUGAGCUAACAAUUUUACUAGAUGUUUUGAAGUCAUUACCUUAUUUAUCCUCACAGUAGCCCAUUUUACUAUUCCCAUUUUACAGGAGAGAGUAUUGAAGCUCAGGGAGGCUACAAAUCUUAAAUAAAAUUACUCAGACAAGCAGUGGCAGAACUCCGAAUCAGGUCUUUAUAUGUCUAAAUCUGGAGCCUGGGGCCCUUACCCCUUCCACCAGAAGUUACAAAUCAGGCUAGACUGCAGUUCUCGGUUGUGUUUUGUUUGGCCUACACAGUGGUGUUUUACUAUUUUUUGUUUCUUUUUGAGAUGGAGUCUUGCUCUGUUGCCCAGGUUGAAGUGGAAUGGUGCAAUCUCAGCCCCCUGCACCCUCUGCCUCCCGGGCUCAAGCGAUUCUUGUGCCUUAACAUCUGUAGCAGCUGGGAUUACAGGCGCCCGCCACCACGCCCAGCUAUUUUUUUGUAUUUUUAGUAGAGAUGGGGUUUUGCCGUGUUGGCCAGGCUGGUCUCGAAUUCCUGACCUCAGGUGAUCUGCCCGCCUCAGCCUCCCAAAGUGCUAGGAUUACAGGCAUAAGCCACCAUGCCCAGCCUUUUACUGUUUAAAAAGUUAGAUGCCAACAUUUUAUUUUGUUUUGAGACAGAGAGUAUCACUCUGUCACCCAGGCUGGAGUGCAGUGGAGCCAUCUCGGCUCACUGCAACCUCCACAUCCAGGGUUCAAGCGAUCCUCCUGCCUCAGCCUCCCAAGUAACUGGGAUUACAAGCAUGCACCACCACACCUGGCUAAUUUUUGUAUUUUUAGUAGAGAUGGGGUUUCACCAUGUUGCCCAGGCUGGUCUCCAACUUUUGACCUCAAGUGAUCCACCUGCCUUGGCCUCCCAAAGUGUUGGGAUUACAGGUGUGAGCCACUGCACCCAGCUGAUGGCAACAUUUUAAAAUGAGAUCAUUUGGCCAGGCACAGCAGCUCACACCUGUAAUCCCAGCACUUUGCGGGGCUAAGGCAGGCAACUUGCUUGAAUCCAGGAGUUUGAGACUGACCUGGGCGACAUGGCAAACUCCGAUCUCUACAAAAAAUUCAAAAAUUAGCCGGGCGUCAUUGAGUGCAUCUGUUGUCCCAGCUACUCAGGAGCUGAGGCAGGAGGAUUUCCUUGAGCCAGGGAGGUAGAGGUUGCAGAUAGCCAAGAUCAAGCUGCUGUACUCCAGCCUGGGUAAGAGAAUGAGACCCUGUCUCCAAAAAAAAAAAAAGAAAAAGAAAAAAAAGGAGAGAGAGAGAGACAGACUAUUUAAUAUAAAAAUCUAGAGUCUAACAUGUCUUUAAAAACCAGAAGAAAGAUCUGGCACUAUAUGUCCACAUUCUCAUAUGCCAACAACCAACUUGAGCUGCUGCUUUUAAACAGGGCUUGUGACAUCUAGUUUGCUACAGUCCCUACCAUUCCCUACUAUUCUACCCAGCCUACUUUCUCAUUUGUGAUGCCAGCCUGGCCCCACAAGCCUGUGGUUAUUCAACCUCUGCAUUGCACUCUACUCCUUACUUACAUAGCUGGGCCCUGGUCCUAGUGCUGGCUUGAACUGGCUGUGACAUUAGGUAAGUUAUGGCACCUGUUUGGGUUUCUGCUGUAACCUGGGCUAGCCAUACUCUGAAAUAACUUCCUAAGUGGCUUUCUGCAUUGCUUUGCAAGAAACCACAAGUCUCCAACACAUCUUGGCUACCUAGCUAAUCUGAGUCCAUGUAAAUUAUACCAGAAGUGACUGGUGUUAUUCACUCUCUGUCACCAUCACUUCACUGCUAUUCUUUGUAACACAGGACAUUUAGGGACAGGUAAGGCCUGGUGAUAUCAGUACUGGUAGGAUGCCAAUUCCCAAUACUUUGAUCAAAAAGUCUGACUUCCACGUGCCUCCACUCAUCUGUUCCAGGAGGCCUAAUUGAACCCUGAGGAGCUCUACUGAGAUUUCAGCAUCUGGGUGUCCUAUUCUGACCCCAUUUUUGCUACAUGAGAGAAAAUGUGUAGCCCAGGUGAGAAUGUUCUCUCUUUCUCUGACACAUAUACACACACACACACACACCUAUGGGUUAGAAAUAGCCUUUCAUUUUCUUUUUUCUUUUUAAGAGUCAGUGUUUCACUCUGUCACCCAGGCUGCAGUGCAGUGGCACCUUCUUAGCUCACUGCAGUCUCAAAAUCCUGGGCUCAAGGAAUCCUCCCACCUCAGCCUCCCUAGUAGCUGGGACUACAGGUGUAGGCCACCAUGCCCAGCUAACUUAAAAUUUUUUUUUUUGUAGAAACGGGGUCUCACUUUGUUGCCCAGCCUGGUCUCAAAUUCCUCGUGUCAAAUGAACCUCUUGCCUCAGCCUCCUGAGUUGCUGGGAUUAUAGGCAGAGCCACCUCACCAGCAGAAAUAGACACCUUUACAGGUCUCUGCAUCUAACUAGUAUCUUACUUGGGUUUCUGAGAUCAGAUCUUUAAAGCCAUAGAAUAUCAGAGAUGGAAAUGUGGGUGGUGCCUUAUCAUCUAUUCUUUUGUCUUUCUCUCUUUUCUUUUUUGUUCAUUGAUUUGUUUGAGAUGGGGUCUUGUUAUUUUGCCCAGGCUGGAGUGCAGUGGCGAUUCACAGGUAUGAUCCCACUACUGAUCAGCAUGGGAGCACUGGAGUUUUGACCUGCUCCAUUUCCAACCUGGGCCAGUUCACCCCUCCUUAGGCAACCUGGUGGCCCCCCACUCCAGGGAGGUCACCACAUUGAUGCCAAACUUAAUACAGACACCUGAUUAGCAUAUUGUGCUAUACCCCAGAACUCUUGGACUCAAGUGAUCCUCCUGCCUAAGCCUCCUAGGUAGCUGGGACCAGAGGCAUAGGCCAUUGUGCCCAGCUAGAUCAUCUAGUACAGUAAUAGCAAAUAGGCUCCACUUCAUUUGCCAAUUCCAGUCAACAAGUAGAGUGUUGAAAAGGCUUGGAAGCUACCUACGGGCAUGGAAUGAUCAGACUCUGAGAUCUCUCAACAAUGUCUGUUGUGGGCAUGGCAAGGGGGAAUGGCAGUAUCUAUAUUAGAAAUUUGCUAUCCUUGAGCCAGCCAAUCUCCUUCUUACACAGAUAUGAAAGCUGGUGUGGGAAGGGGUGAUGACUUGCCCAAAGUCAUGUGGCAAGGCAAGGCAGAAGUAGAUCCAGAAGCAGGGUCUCUCUUGACCUUGAAGCCAUGAUUGCUCCCACUGUAUUAGCUCAGAGAAGAAAACUGAGGCUGGGAAGGGCAAUGACUGAAGCAAGAUUAGGACCUAGGAGUCCUGGGAAGCCUGGCUGGGAUAGGGGCUAAGAAAUUCAGUUCGGUGCCCCUAGCCUGAGCCCUGCCAGCCUGGCCUAUUGGCCUCUGCUCCACUUCUCAGAGUCCCUUUACUCCUGUCCCAGUUUCCUGUCUCAUUUUCCUCAGGUUCAGAGAGUGCACAUCGAAGCAGAGGGGCCUCUGGGGAUCCUAGGCCCUACAUACCCUCUUUUGGCAGCCUUCAGCAAGCUCCCAGCUCCCUCUCUUCUGGAAGAGAAGUCCUAGGACAAGGGUUUUUAACCUUAUUGAUGUCAUGGAUCCCUUGACAAUCUGCGAAACCUAUGGGCUCCUUCUCAGAAUAUUUUUAAAUACCUAAAAUACAUAGGAUGACAAAGGAAACCAAUCAUCCUGAAAUACAACUAUCAAAAUAAAAGAAAUUGCAAUAGCAAUAUAUGAUUCUUUAUUAGUACAUUAAAAAUGAAGUCUAGUGGCAGAUAUAACUAUUGUAGCCAGGCGUGGUGGCUCACGCCUGUAACUCCAGCACUUUGGGAGGCCGAGGUAGGUGGAUCACAUGAGGCCAGGAGUUUGAGACCAGCCUGACCAACAUGGUGAAACCCCAUCUCUACUAAAAAUAUAAAAAUUAGCUGGACACGGUGGCACAUGCCUGUAAUCCCAGCUACACAGGAGCCUGAGGCAUGAGAAUCACUUGAGGCCAGGAGGCAGAGGUUGCAGUGAGCCGAAAUUGUGCCACUGCACUCCAGCCUGGGUGACAAAGUGAGACUCUGUCUCAAAAAAAAAAAAAAAAAGAUAUAACUAUGGUAAUUUUAAAGUAACACUGGCCGGGCAUGGUGGCUUAUGCCUAUAAUCCCAGCACUUUGGGAGGCUGAGGCAGGUGGAUUGCCUGACCUCAGGAGUUUGCGACCAGCCUGGGCAACAAGGUGAAACCCCGUCUCUACUAAAAUACAAAAAUUAGCCAGGCGUGAUGGCAUGUGCCUGUAGUCCCAGCUACUUGGGAGACUGAAGCAGGAGAAUUGCUUGAACCUGGAAGGCGGAGGUUGCAGUGAGCUGAGAUCGCACCACUGCAUUCCAGCCUGGGCAACAGAGCGAGACUCUGUCUCAAAAUAAUAAUAAUAAUAGUAAUAAUAAUAAUAAUACUAACCAUAGAUGGUAUUUUUGAAAGAUCUGCAACAACCAUAAUGUGAUAUUAAAAUAUCUGUGAUUUCUUUUGGUGACACAGUCACAGGAACUGCCAAUACUGCUGUGGGUCAUUGCCUACAUUUAUAACUAAACAAAAUGCUGACUUGAGUUACAGGUUAGGGAAAAUAGAGUGGUUUGUAAUGGUUCAUAACUGGAAAACAGAGGCUAGGUGUAGUGGCUCACACCUGUAAUUCCAACAUCUUGGGAGGCUGAGGUAGGAGGAUCACUUGAGCCUGAGAGUUUGAGACAAGCCUGAGCAACAUAGGGAAACUCUAUCUCUAAAAAUUUAAAAAUUAGCCAGGUGUGGUGGCACAUGUCUGCAGUCCCAGCUGCUCAGGAAGCUGAGGUGGGAGAAUCACUUGAGCCCAGGAGCUUGAGGCUGCAGUGAGCUGAGAUCGUGCCACUGCACUCCAGCCUGGGCAACAGAGAGAGACCGUGUCUUGGGAAAAAAGAAAAGAGAAGAAAAAAUUCUUUCCUUCCAAGUUCAGAGAUACCCUGAAUUCUAUUUGUGGACCCAGGCUGAGAACCUUUGUUUUGGGAGGUUCAUGCAGGAGUCUGCUGGGCCAGUGGUUUGCAAACUGCGGGCUACGGAACCCUGAAGAUUCUGGAAGUGUCAAGGAAGCUGUCAAACAGUGGAUGAGUUGAGGUAGCAAGCAGGAAAACCAUCCAAUCAGAGAGCCUCUGAGUCUGCAUCCAUAAUCUCUGCUUCAGCUUGAGAAGGUUCUUUUCUAUUUGAGUUCAUUUCAGUGAUUCAUAUGAUUCCAUUGUCUUAAAGAAAAAAAAAAGAGGGGUGCUGGGCACGGUGGUUCACACUUGUAAUCCCAGCUCUUUGGGAAGCUGAGGUGGGAGGAUCACUAGAUCCCAGGGGUUGGAGACUUGCCUGGGCAACAUAGUGCAACCUCGUCUCUAAAAAUAUAUAUUUUAUAGAUUAGCCCGGCAUGGUGGUGCACGUCUAUAGUCCCAGCUACUCCAGAGGCUGAGGUGGGAAGAUCCCUUAAGCCUAGGAGGUCGAGGUUGCAGUGAGCUAUGAUAGCACCAUUACACUCCAGCCUGGGCAACAGAGCGAGACUCCGUCUCAAAAAAAAAAAAAAAAAAAAAAAAAGUGUCAGGGAUUCCUCUGUUUGUUUGAAUGUUGAAAACGUUCAUGUGGCCCCACCCACAGCUUCAUAUGACAUAAAGGAAAGCCGAGGCUGAAAGAAGUGAAGGGGUCCUACGUUACCGUUACCAUUUGGUGGCAGGUUUGGGGGUGUAGGGGAGGCCAGGGAAAGGAGCUGGGAAGCAGCUGGGCACAGGUGAACUUCCUUGUACCUCUUCCUGCCAGCCACUGCAGGGAAGCACCUUGUGUGGCUGAGUGCUGGGCCAAGAGUCAGGAAACUGGAAUUCAACAUCCUAGUUCUGCUGCUAAGGUUUCUCAUUUGCAAAGUUUCUCAUCUCAAGUUUCUCAUUUGCAAGACAGAGAUGAUAAUGCACAAGUGUUGAGAGAACCAAUCCAGAGAAGGCUGUAAGGAACAUAAGGCUGCGGUUAAAGGGGUUGUAAUGUAUUUGUCUCCACGGCCUGGCACUCUUUUCUCCAUGCUCCUGGAAUGCUUUCUCUCCAUACUGACAAACCAGAUAUUCCCUGUAUCCUAUGACAGUAUCAUCCCAUUCACCCAGCACAAUGACACAGUCAGAUUUAUGGUUGAACGUCCAGUCACUCAGUCUACCAGCUUACCUCCUAAAUAUCUCCUCUUCACUGUUUCCACUGCUAUGGCAUUAUCUUUGGCCUUCAUUUCUCUAACAGCCCCCAAUUUCUCUCUGUGCCUCAGGCUGCCUUCCAUGGAGCCAAAACACGUUCUGACCACGUCUUUCUUCUACUGUAAAGUCCUUAGUGACCCCUCACUGUGUGCAAGGCCAAGUCUAGCCCCUGCAGAAUAUGGCAACCUAGACUCCGCAUGAUCUGCCUUCAGCUUCCCCGCCCUCUCCCUUUUUCCAGCAUCCCUACCUCCUCCUGCAGGGAGGCUGCUGGACUCCUUUUGCUGUCUUCCCUCCCUGCCUUUUUCAUUACCUAGACAAUAGUGCAACACCAGGGAGCUAUGAGAAGAGGAGAUUCAGGAGCCUGGGAAUAUUGCUCUCCCCAGGCUGGUGGGUGGGCAGGAGGAAACUGAACACACACAGGACUCAGGAGUUCUGUUGAUAGGUUAGAGAACAGGUGUGACCCUGCCCUCAUUCUGGGCCAGACAGGGGUUAUUUUCAGAGACCAGCCGGUAGCACAUGGAGAGGUCACCUGCACAGUCAGGAAGAGUCUACCAUUUCUAUACUUACAGGAACCAGAUCACCAGGAACAGGAUAUAGCCAGGCAGUGGAGAAUUCAUAGAAUCCCUCAUUCUUAGAAUGUUAGAGGUGAAAGGGACCUCAUGCAUCUUUCCUAGGUUUUAACUCUUCUCUGCUUCAGACAAAAAAGUAAAGUCCAGAGAAGGGAAGUGACUUGGCCAAGGUCAUACAGUGAGUUGAGGUAGAGCCUGAACGAAAGCCAACAUCUGAUUUUCUUCCCAACUUUCAUGUUCUGGGCUCUGGCCUCUGGACUCUCACCAGGAGUCUGAGUAACUGAUCCAGGACUGAUUUACCAACAAUGGGUUAAUGUGUCACUGCUGGGAUUUGCAAGUGCCAGCUCUAACAGGGGUUGUCAAUGCCUUAACCCUAAGGUUUUCAGCUGGGGAACAGUGAUGGGUUACAAGUGUGCUGAGAUAUAGAACCCUUGGGCCAUAAGUGGCCAGGUGGAGACUGGGGCAGCCAGAGCCCACGGUCCUGCUGGGAUAGUCACCUUCAGGCCUCAAACAGCUUCCACAUAAGUUUAGCCCCACGGGUAUCCAAGUAUUACCAUGGACUGGGAUGGGGAAAGUUGGGAAGCACUGUGUAAACCCUAAAACAUGAGUUAUUUUAGGGGUGGUAUAGGCAAAGGUGGAGAAAGGGAGAGUUUGAAGAUACAGGUUCUAGUUCUGGCUGUACCACUUCCUUCUGACAUAUAUUCUAGGGGGGAAAAUAAUGAGAAAAAAUAAAAGGUACCAUUUUGUCUCAUUUAAUCUUUCAAACAGUUCUAUAAAAGUAGGUGCUGUUAUCAACUGCAUUAUACAGAUGAGGAAACUGAGUCAGGGAAAUUAAGAGACUUAGCCAAGAGCCCACAACCAGGAAGUAGUAUGCCAGAAUUGAAACCCAGGUCUGUCUUUAUUUGGAUUCUGUGCUCUUAAUUACUCUGCCAUAUGGACUUGUUGCGGAACAAGUGGGGAGAGAGAUGGGGCCCUUCAGCCCCACUCCCCUGGCAUGAGGGCUACUGAUUCUCCCUCUACUCUGGAUUGCCAGGCUUUAGGGAGGCCUUCAGCAGGGGGCAGUAGGGUCCAGAGGACCCCUAAGCAGUGAGGGCUAUCCCCCAACCCUGCCUUCAUGGGUAUAAGAUCAUUCUCAGACUGUAGUGAGUAUUUUGAAUCCUGCCAGAGGCAACCAUGAUCUUCCAGGAGUGGAGUGUCCAGCCCUCAGAACGGGAAAGGUGGUGAGAUUUCACUGGUUGUUGUGAUACCCUAAAACUGGUAGAAAGAAAGCUGGAAUAAGGCACCUUGUUUACUAUACUAAUCCUUCCUUAAACCAUAACUCCUAUUUACAGAUCCAGUUACUCUGCCAAGCACUUUAUUCACAUUGCCUCAUUGAAUUUUUACAGCAGCCCUAUCUUGAGUAGCUGCUGUUAUUAUCAUCUGUUCUUUACUGGAGGAGGAAUCUAAAGCUCUGACUCAGCUAGACUGCUGACUUUUCAGUGGACCUUAGUCAAGGGACUUUUAGGCAAGUCUUCUCUGGGUCCAAUAUCUAGGACUACAGAAGUAAUUCCUUCCCUGCCUAGAGCAUUGGAUUAUAAAAGUGAAAACAAUUUACAAGCUGUUAUCCAUUUGUUUAAAUGGUGUCUAUUGAGAACUUAAAGCAAGGAAGAGGCCCUGGCACUACAGAGAAAAAUAAAGCGUAAUCCUGCCCAUGGAAAAAUGCAAGAUAAAUGUUAGGUAAACAAGGCUUUCCAUUUCCAGUAAUUAUGGACUAGAAGACUGCUCCCCAACUUCACUGGGAAUUUUUUUUUUUUUUUUUAGGACAAGGUCUCACUCUCUCACCCAGGCUGGAGUGCAGUGGCACAAUCAUAGCUCACUGCAGCCUUGAGCUUCCCAGGCUCAGGUGAUGCUCCCACCUCAGCCUGCCAAGUAGCUGAGACUACAGGUGCACGCCACCAUACCCAGCUAAUUUUUGCAUUUUGUGUAUAGAUGGGGUUUCGUCAUGUUGCCCAAGCUGGUCUCAAACUCCUGAGCUCAAGUGAUCUGCCCACCUUGGCCUCCCAAAGGCUGGGAUUACAGGCAUGAGCCAUCUCGCCUGGCCACCACUGGGAAUUAUUAAAAGAGCUAAACAGCCAGCCCUGUUGCCUCACACCUGUAAUCCCAAUACUUUGGGAGGCUGAGGCCAGCCUGGGCAAUAUAGUGAGACCUUGUCUCUACAAAAAAACUUUAAAAUUAGCCAGGUGUGGGCUGGAUGCGGUGGCUCACACCUGUAAUCCCAGCACUUUGGGAGGCUGAGGUGGGUGGAUCAUGAGGUCAGGAGUUCAAGACAAGCCUAGCCAAGAUGGUAAAACCCCGUCUCUACUAAAAAUACAAAAAUUAGCCUGGUGUGGUGGC
rnacentral:lncRNA from 1 species